rnacentral:rRNA from 1 species
CCUACGGGAGGCAGCAGUGAGGAAUAUUGGUCAAUGGGCGCGAGCCUGAACCAGCCAAGUAGCGUGAAGGAUGACUGCCCUACGGGUUGUAAACUUCUUUUAUAAAGGAAUAAAGUGAGGCACGUUUGCCUUUUUGUAUGUACUUUAUGAAUAAGGAUCGGCUAACUCCGUGCCAGCAGCCGCGGUAAUACGGAGGAGCCGAGCGUUAUCCGGAUUUAUUGGGUUUAAAGGGAGCGUAGAUGGGUUGUUAAGUCAGUUGUGAAAGUUUGAGCCUAAACCGGAAAAUUGCAAUUGAUACUGGCAGCCUUGAGUACAGUUGAGGUAGGCGGAAUUCGUGGUGUAGCGGUGAAAUGCUUAGAUAUCACGAAGAACUCCGAUUGCGAAGGCAGCUUACUAAACUGCCACUGACAUUGAUGCUCGAAAGUGUGGGUAUCAAACAGGAUUAGAUACCCUUGUAGUC